rnacentral:ncRNA from 2 species
GCCACCGUUGCGGGAGAGUGCGUGCAUCGCAUGCCGCCGAAGGCGCAAGCACCCGGAAUCGCUCAGGCAAAAGGAUCGCAACGCCAGG